AAAUCUCCCUAUAUUGAUGCUAAAGACAACGUGAGAAGAUAAAUCUCUUGAGAUAUGAGACCUGAAUUGAAGAACGAAACCGGAUGAUCGCCAUUAAACUCAAAUAAGAUAAGCUUUCUUCCUAAAUUAUGUUUAUCUUUGAUUAGAUUGAUUUUUAUGAUUCUGAAAAAUCAAUUUACGGUUUUAAAAAACUUGAAAUAUAUGUUUCAAUUCGAAGUUUAUAUUCGAUCUUAAUCUGCGUAUAGAUCUGUAACAUCUAAUUGUUUUAAUCUUUCUUUUGAGAUAGAAAUUUUAAAAUUCUUGAGUGCAACUCGAUUCAACAGUUAGAAUAGAUCUGUAACAUCUAAUUGUUUUAAUCUUUCUUUUGAGAUAGAAAUCUAGGGUUCUUGAGUGCAACUCGAUUGAUCUUCUAUUCUUUAAUGUGGAUCGAAAUUUCGACUUCAGAUUCUUCGUCAUUGAAUCUUUAUCUCCACUACACAUCAAAUCGUUUUGUAUUCCACUUACUUUUAGAUUUAGAUCUCGUGUGAAUUUUUAUCUGUUUGAUGAAUCUUUGUUUCUAACUGUUGAAAGUGCAAGAACUAGAUUUAAUAUAGAAUUAUGAUAUCCAAUUAAAUAUUUGUAUCUCAAUUUUGUUGUCAGGUCUUCAGGAAUAUCUACCAGAACCUGCAUAAAGAUGUAGAGAUCAAUUUUAAUGGCUAAAAGUAUCACAAUAAACAAGAAUAAAAUUCUCUAAGAGUAAUACCUGGUUAUUGCCUAAACAUAAUCAAGUAUGUUUAAAUGUACAUCUAUGAUUCAACUCAUUUUGGUGAUGGAUAUGAGCGAUGGAGCAAGGGAAAAUUAAGCAGUAAUAUACAUCUAUGACUACAUAAUUUUCUCCACUUUAAUGCAGAGAUGUACCUAAACUUUGCUACCAUUUAAAUGUGCAGUACUUCAUUUAUUAAAGAGUACUUUCAUUUUUGAUAGCCGCCACUCUCAACUAAUUUAAUAUGUAAAAUGCAGAAUCAUAAUCUGAAAUUGUCGCAUGGUAUUUUAGAUAAUUGGCAAAGUGAGUGAUGUGUUCGAAAACUUACCAUUUGAGUUGUUACUUCCAUUUGGCAGGAAGUUGAAAUUAUCAAUUUUCAAGGCUAGAUUAUCUAUUAUGGUGAUGAUGAUUAGCUGUGUUACGGAAUCAAGCAACACAGGCAUGGUGGGCAUAGAGUUCGGUUAUGGUGCAACUCUGAUUUGCUCCAGCUGAAUGGAGAGACUGGAGACAAGGAUAACUCAGUCAGUAGCUUCCAAUGUUGCCCAGGCAGAAGUCAAAUGUGAAUAUUAAUGAAUACUAUUGUAAGUACAUUUGCAGACUUUUUACUAACUCUCCCAUGUGAGUAUUGAAACCAUUAGAAAAGGAAUAUAGAUAGAAGAUGAUAAAUUACCACAACAACAAAUGCUAUUUAGAACGAUAUUAUACACCAACUGUUUGUUAUAUGUUUGAACUAAUGCUUUAUUUUCUUGGCAUGCUUACUGAGAGAAAAUUCAUAAAAGCUAGUGGAAGUUGGUCGUUUUUGUACAGCUGCACUGUCUUUUUAGCCUUGUCCCACUAUGUUAGUGAUACUAUAUAUGACAGCUGCCUCGGGAGUUUAUUUUCUUAUUUUAUCUCUUAAUUUUCUUUUGACUUGUAUAUGCUGAGUUAAAUGCUAGGCUAUUCAUUUAAAAAUAAGAGAAUUGGCUACUUCUCUUGAAACACGGGUGAGAUUUCCGAAGCCAGUACUAAAUGAAGAAAGACAAGUCCUUUUUGUACUUGCAGUUGUCAGUGGUUUAGAAAAUUUUGAAAAAUAAUAUGCCCGUGGGAAAACGCAGAGUGGUAAGAUUUUGCUGUUACUUGAUUCGCAAUGAUGAUAUGCCACACAAAAAUCUUAACCACAUAUACACUCAUCUGAAUAUUCCUUCACUAUUUUGAAUUUGCUCUUACUUGAUUGUGCGUCUGCGAUUUUGCUCUUAAUUGCUUUUAAAAUUAGCUUUUGCCUUGCAUAGUUUUACGCAUGUUGAUCUUAAUGUGUACAUAACUGUGCACAUUUAGAUUUAAAAAAAUUCUUAAUGUGUACAUUAUUAUACACAUAAUGAUUUAGAAGAAUUUUAAAUUAGAUCACUUUUCUUAUGAUUAAGUCCCCAUGUUGAUCUGAAUGUGCGAUUAUAUUAAAGCUUUUAGUCAAGAAUUUUGAAUGAGAUAAAUGUAGUGUUGUUAUUAAUCUCCAGUCGUCAUUAAAGUUUUCAGUCAAGAAUUUUGAAUUAGAUAACUUUUUUUAUGAGUUAAGAACAGUUUGGUAUUAUUUCACACUUGUCCACAUUCACUCAGUUCUACUAUUUUGGUAUUAUCUCUACAAUCUACAGAUACUUUAAAGACUUGCCUUACUAGUUUAUGCACAUUUUGUUUUUUGAAUUACUAAAGUGUACAUAUUUGUAGACAUGUUAGAUUAUUUGGGUGUACAUAGUUGUACACACAUGUUUGUUAUUUAGGUGUACAUAGUUGUCCACAUGUUUGAUUAUUUAGGUGUGCAUAUUUGUACACUACUACACUUGCAUAACUAUAUUUUAUAUAUACAAAACAAAAAUUAGGGAAAGCACUAAUAUGUACAAGUGUUGGAUUUUUUGUAGGUACGUACAUAGUUGUACACCAAUAUUGUGCUCUCUCAUAAUCUUAGUAGUCGUUUAUUAUGUUUUGAUACUACUUUUUAUGAAGCAACUAAUGUCUUGCAGAAAAUUAGUUUAGAUCAUCUGACAAGUUUUCUUAAAAAACUACUAUUGCAUUAUUGACAAGUUGAAACUGGUGGGCUUUUAUGUGUAGUAUGUAUUUUUGUACUGGCUCUACAAGGUGUAUUUUCUCAUAUACCAGUUAAAUAGCUAAUGAGUUGUUCUACUUUUUCUUCCAUGGGUUGGUUUUCGCAUUUGUAUUGUUACCUGUUUUCUUUAAUUGUAAGUGCCAAAGAUAGAGAACGACAUGCACAACCUUCCCCCAUUGGGUGAGAUUGAUUGAUGUUGAAGCACUGAAAAAAAAAAGACUUGCUGAUAUAUUACCUCAUGUUAUUGUAUGCUUGCAUUAAUGAGUUGGGAUAAGUAAUGGCCGAGAACAAAGGUCAUGAAUACUGACAUGGAUUAUGGGAAUACAUUAUUGGGUAUCCACAAUUCGAUGCCGAGACGCAAAAUGAAACAUUUAAAAGGUGCAGCACUGUUGUUGGAUCGCAAUUCGAGAUUUGUUGUGCCAGAAGAUUGAUAUGGGCUGUAUGCGAUUGAUUGCUUGGGUCCUGACUUGUUGCUUGGGCUGACUACAUUUUGUAAAAACCACGGUAUGUUGAAUUACCAUUACAAAAAUUAACAGUAGAUUGGAAAGCUACAGAAAUGGAUAAAAAUUUUGUUUUGAAUGGUUGAGGUGUUGUAGUUGUUUACAGCAACAGGGUUAAGAGUGGUUGAGCAUUGGAGCUGGUGUUGGUACUUGUUAAUGAGUUUCGAUUGUAAACAUGUUGUAUUUUGUAGAUGUGUACAUGUUUGUACACCAAUGUAAAUGAAGUUUUUAAAAAAAAAUGUGAAUUAUAGUCAUAUGGGUACUCUAUUUGUAGCUCUUGGUUUUAUUUUAUUUUUAUAUUAUUUAAACUUCAGACA